AGAUUUAGUGGCGAACGGGUGAGGAUCACGUGAGAAACGUGCCCCAGACUCUGGGAUAACAAUUGGAAACGAUUGCUAAUACCGGAUGACGUCGGAGAACCGCAUGGUUCACUGACGAAAGAUAUUUCGGUUUGGGAGGGUCUCGCGGCCUAUCAGCUUGUUGGUGGGGUAAUGGCUCACCAAGGCAUCGAUCAGUAGCUGGUCUGAGAGGAUGAUCAGCCACACUGGGACUGAGACACGGCCCAGACUCC
rnacentral:rRNA from 1 species